GACGAACGCUGGCGGCGUGCCUAAUACAUGCAAGUAGAACGCUGAAGAGAGGAGCUUGCUCUUCUUGGAUGAGUUGCGAACGGGUGAGUAACGCGUAGGUAACCUGCCUGGUAGCGGGGGAUAACUAUUGGAAACGAUAGCUAAUACCGCAUGAAAUUGCUUAUCGCAUGAUAAUUAAUUGAAAGAUGCAAUUGCAUCACUACCAGAUGGACCUGCGUUGUAUUAGCUAGUUGGUGAGGUAACGGCUCACCAAGGCGACGAUACAUAGCCGACCUGAGAGGGUGAUCGGCCACACUGGGACUGAGACACGGCCCAGACUCCUACGGGAGGCAGCAGUAGGGAAUCUUCGGCAAUGGGGGGAACCCUGACCGAGCAACGCCGCGUGAGUGAAGAAGGUUUUCGGAUCGUAAAGCUU
rnacentral:rRNA from 1 species